rnacentral:rRNA from 1 species
GAUGAACGCUGGCGGCGUGCCUAAUACAUGCAAGUCGAGCGGACAGACGAGGAGCUUGCUCCUCUGACGUUAGCGGCGGACGGGUGAGUAACACGUGGAUAACCUACCUAUAAGACUGGGAUAACUUCGGGAAACCGGAGCUAAUACCGGAUAAUAUAUUGAACCGCAUGGUUCAAUAGUGAAAGACGGUUUUGCUGUCACUUAUAGAUGGAUCCGCGCCGCAUUAGCUAGUUGGUAAGGUAAAGGCUUACCACGGCAACGAGGCGUAGCCGACCUGAGAGGGUGAUCGGCCACACUGGAACUGAGACACGGUCCAGACUCCUACGGGAGGCAGCAGUAGGGAAUCUGCCGCAAAGGGCGGAAGCCUGACGGAGCAACGCCGCGUGAGUGAUGAAGGUCUUCGGAUCGUAAAACUCUGUUAUUAGUGAAGAACAAAUGUGUAAGGAACUAUACACGUCUUGACGGUACCUAAUCAGAAAGCCACGGCUAACUACGUG